CCUAUUUCACUUCCUCAAAAUAGCCAGAAUGAAUCUUAGAACUCAAGAAAUCUGUCAUUUUUAUGUUUUUGCCAAGGAUGUUUUAGUUGUGCAAUUUAACAUCUAACUAAAAGGUGUUGGGUGCAGUAUUUCUUAAGUAAAAAACAUGUGCAACGUGCUGUCUUAUGUAAACAAAGUCGGAGCUGCUGGGCCGGUCUGUCUCAUUGUCUAUACUAUUGGAUAGAGCGCAAUCACCGCAGCAGUUCACCCCAUAUUAGUGGGUAAAUUGACAUUGUCAAAUCAACCGAGGUAAAGACAGUUUCAAGUUGGAUAUUCAACGGAUAUUCGCGCUUUCAAACCUCAAUAGCUUUCAAAUCACUUGAGCCACGGACUCCAAAUAAGUGUCAUGAUGUUGGAAAAAUUGCGCACAACACUGCACAGGUCUUAUUUUCACGAUUUGGACAUUAAUUCACUUUCCAAAGCUAAUAAACAUGUGGAAAUGUGAGCAGCAUUAUGUAUUCCUAGUUGAAUUAGUUAGGGAGCGUAAACAAAGUACAAACUUUUUUUACAUUCGAAUUUCAAUAGCUCAUUGGUCAUGUGACCUACUUGACUCAUACAAGGUCCAGAAUGUCCAAUGGCUACCCUUCUAUAUUGAACACCAUUUAGUUUGUCCAUUUUCAUCUCAAGAUUUUAUAUGAAUUUUUCCAAAUGUAAAAUUUCAAUCGCUCCUUGGUAAUGUGACCUAGUGACUACAAACAAGGUUCAGUAUGUCCACUGACUACCCUUCUAUAUUGCACACCCUUUAGUUAGUCCAUUAACGUCUGACAAAAAUGUCUCAACAUUUAGAAUUUCAAUAGCUCCUUGGUCAUGUGACCUACUGACCUCAAACAAGGUUCAGAAUGUCCACUGACUAUACCUUCAUAUUGCUCACUCUGAUGUUUGUCUACUUUCAUAUCAUGCUAUUAGACUUAAAUCUAAGCUUUGCAGGCCUUCAUUUCACAUGGGUGUUAACUUAAAAAAUUAAAAAUGUAACAAAUGUUCCAGCCUCGCAAUAACUCUCUCUUACAUGGACACUGAAAAGAUCCCCAAAUGGCUGUAUGUGGUAUGGAUCAGGGACAGGAGAGGUGUUCGAACAGAGGUGCUUAAAGGAAGGCACACAAGUAGGCCCCGUGAAAAACUGUUUCAUAUGCUCUUUUUAAUCACAGUAAUAGGCAGUGAUUUGUCAGUCAGAGUGAGCUUGAUAAGGUGAAAGAAUCCUUUUCAUAUACUGUACAUUAAGACAAAUCCUUCUACGUUGAGUAUUAGAACACAGUUUCCAUAACCUGAUAUUUGAGUACAUUCACAACAAGUCACCUGCAGACAACUUACAAAAUGCAAUAGUGCAUUUGAGGGUUGGUUUUUCUGAUGAAAAUAAUUAUUUGAUGCAUGGCCUACUAUUUCUAACUGGAAGAAUACAUUCCUGUCUUUUGUGAGUAAAAUCCUUUUUCCAAAAUUGAUUUAGGUACAUUUUUGUGAAGAGGUAUGAGGGUUGUGAUAUGGGUCAUUUAAUAGUAAAAUCAUUUAAGGGAUCAAUACAUUUCUAUAUUGCUUCCCCAGUAUCUGCAUGAACCAUCAGGCCAAGUGUUUUUGGUGACCCUGCUGGACAGAAAGAGAAGGAGGAAUCGGAACACGCUGCAUUCAAAUUCAGACCUCCCUCAGCUGCACCCUCGUCACCAAAGCCGCAUAUACUACCCACCACUGCGACCUGUAUGCUCUCGUUGGCUGGCCCUGGCUUCAUAUUUGUCGCCAAACCCACUGGCUCCAGGUCAUCUAUAAGUCCUUGCUAGAGAAUACUUCAAAAUGAGAAGACCCUGCCAUGGAAAAGACGACUGGGUGGACAUAAAGUGGAAAGGAGAGGAAAUAACUCACACCAUGCAGCAGGACACCUUCAGCUGCGGGAUCUUUGUAAUGCAGAUGGCCAAGGAAGUUGUACAGAACUUCCCCAACAUCCCCUCCCAAAAUGAUAUGGAACCUUCAAAAACACAUGGAGCAACUGCGAAAAGAAAUGGCUGAGGAUAUACUAAAAAUGUCUGAGUUCAACAAAGCCAACAAGUGCUUCGUGUAUGCCACUGAUAAAGAACCUGGAUGUGGCCCAAAGACUGACUGGGAAUGAAGAACAAACUGGAAGUGCAGUCUUUGUUGUUGAAAAUGUCUGCUAUACCCCAUCCACACUGAAGAGGUUCUGAAAUGUACAUCAACCAGGGAUAAAGAGGAAGUUAACACUGUGAAAUGUUUCAUACUUAUUUUAAGUGUCUGUUGACAUGUUGGAAAAGAUUAAAGGUCUACAAUUUGUUAAAUUUGUCAAUAUUCAUUUUUUAUUCAUUGAUUUACUGGCCACCAUUACUGUGGUAACAUGUUCAGUAUAUGUAUUGACCAGCAAACCCA